rnacentral:rRNA from 1 species
GAACGAACGCUGGCGGCGCGUUUAAGCGUGCAAGUCGAGCGGCAGGGGGCUCGGUCCCCCGAGAGCGGCGGACGGGUGAGUAACACGUGGGCAACCUGCCCUAUAGAGGGGAAUAGCCUUCCGAAAGGAAGAUUAAUACCGCAUAACAUUACAUUUUCGCAUGAAGAAGUAAUUAAAGGAGCAAUCCGCUAUAAGAUGGGCCCGCGGCGCAUUAGCUAGUUGGUGAGGUAACGGCUCACCAAGGCGACGAUGCGUAGCCGACCUGAGAGGGUGAUCGGCCACAUUGGGACUGAGACACGGCCCAGACUCCUACGGGAGGCAGCAGGUGGGGAAUAUUGCACAAGUGGGGGAAACCCUGAUGCAGACCAACGCCGCGUGAGUGAUGAAGGUCUUCGGAUCGUAAAGCUCUGUCUUCAGGGACGAUAAUGACGGUACCUGAGGAGGAAGCCACGGCUAACUACGUGCCAGCAGCUGC